rnacentral:rRNA from 1 species
GACGAACGCUGGCGGCGUGCCUAAUACAUGCAAGUCGAGCGGACGAAUCGAAAGCUUGCUUUUGAUUCGUUAGCGGCGGACGGGCGAGUAACACGUGGGCAACCUGCCCUGUAGACGGGGAUAACACCGAGAAAUCGGUGCUAAUACCGGAUAACACGAAAUGUCGCAUGACGUUUCGUUGAAAGACGGCGCAAGCUGCCGCUACAGGAUGGGCCCGCGGCGCAUUAGCUAGUUGGUGAGGUAACGGCUCACCAAGGCGACGAUACGUAGCCGACCUGAGAGGGUGAUCGGCCACACUGGGACUGAGACACGGCCCAGACUCCUACGGGAGGCAGCAGUAGGGAAUCUUCCGCAAUGGACGAAAGUCUGACGGAGCAACGCCGCGUGAGCGAAGAAGGCCUUCGGGUCGUAAAGCUCUGUUGUUAGGGAAGAACAAGUAACGCAGUAACUGGCGUUACCGUGACGGUACCUAACGAGAAAGCCACGGCUAACUACGUG